GGGCCCUGAUGGGCGGGGCUCCAGCGUGGACCCUGGACUUGUGCUCCUAUGUCAUUUAUCCCAGCUGUUCCCGGUUUCCCCUUCUGAGCCAGGUAUCUUGGCCUCCUCGGUGGCCACAGCUUUCUGCUAAGCCUCGGUCUUCUUCCCGGCAGGAGAGACCUUUGACCCAUGUGCGUCCUGAUCCGUGGCCAGGAGCGUACCCAGUACGGCGGUGCGCCACUCGAGAGGCCUGACCCAGGUAGCCUCAACCUGAAUCUUCGACCCAGUAUCCUUUGAGGGGCCGAAUGGUUGCCAGCCCCUGCCCAGAGAUAAACAGAAGUCCAGGGAUGUGAAAUGUUGCCCUGACAACACAGACCAGAAUUGGAUAAAGGAGAAUAUGUAUCAUCUGGCCAGCCAGAGCGUCCCUGCUAUUUGGAAAAGGGCGGAGAACCUGUGGCAUUGUUUUGUAACCAAGAUUAAAAUCCUUAAUGGAGUAAGACUCAUCCAAUGAAUAAGGAAGAAACUAAGUGUCGUGGGCAGGCAUUACACCAAAGAAUGCAGAUGGCUGGCCGCUGAACCAAGGUGCUAAGCCUGUCUGGGAAUCAACAUUGAAACAAGAGCCCAGAAAUUCUUCCUAUGAUUUAGAAUAAAACUAAAAGUCUUACUCUAAAUGUCUAAGGCCAGGAAAGCACCAGGUCAUGGCCCUCUCUGCUAGCCACAGGACUCUUCUUUCUGGCUUUAAACAUCUGUUUAAACAUUUGUUUACUUUGCCCCCCAACCCAGGAGAUAUCAGUGCUCCAUGGGAAUGCUGCAAAGACCCGGGGCUCUGAAAAGAUGGCCAUGCUAAUUCCUCUGUUGGUGUUUACCCAAGACAUGAAGACCAGAACAGGAAGAGACACUCGUGGGCUAUUCAUAAUCAACCAACUCAAUCCAUGAAUGGCAAAGUUGAUGGUGAUAAUUUUCCCUCAGAAACUGUCCCUCAGAAUGAAAAGUAGCCCAUGAUGAAUGUGGCCUAAGCACAUCUCAGAAGCACAAUGCCAAGGGAAAGAAACUCCUUAAAUGACAUCGUGGGGUUGGCAGGAGAAUAGAAACAGAAAUCAGACCCGCGGUUGUCAGAGAUGGAAACACAGAAUGGGAUUUGUUUGCAAAGCGUCUCAAAGAACUUUGUGGAAAGAACAGCCAUGGUCUAAGCUGUAAUACUGGUCAAAGCUUGUUUCAUGGUACUCAAAGAAGAUGAACUUAAGGAUUUAAAUACUUCUCAGUAAGCUUGAGUUAAAAGGGGUGUGAAGUCCUCAAAUAAUUAAACAUAGACUUGGAUGAUUCAGCCCACUUCUAGGCACAUAACAGAGAGGAUGGAAAGCAGGUCUGUAUGCCAAAUGCGCAUGACACAGUUCUCACGGGCACUAAAAGGUUGGGCCCAGCCCAGAAGGCACCGAUCAACAGGUGCAUGGAUACAGCAAAUGUGACAGGUAUACGUGGAAUAUUACUUAACCCUGAAAUGAGAGAAACUCCCGAUGCACACUAUAGCAUGUAUGUCUCCUGAGGACGUUGUGUUGAGAGAAGUAAAGCCAAUUAGAAAAGGG
rnacentral:lncRNA from 1 species